UACGUAGGGUGCGAGCGUUGUCCGGAAUUAUUGGGCGUAAAGAGCUCGUAGGCGGUUUGUCGCGUCUGUUGUGAAAUCCCGAGGCUCAACCUCGGGUCUGCAGUGGGUACGGGCAGACUAGAGUGCGGUAGGGGAGAAUGGAACUCCUGGUGUAGCGGUGGAAUGCGCAGAUAUCAGGAAGAACACCGAUGGCGAAGGCAGUUCUCUGGGCCGUAACUGACGCUGAGGAGCGAAAGCGUGGGGAGCGAACAGG
rnacentral:rRNA from 1 species